UAAUACGAGAGGCCCAAACGUUAUUCGGAAUUACUGGGCUUAAAGAGUUCGUAGGCGGCGCGGAAAGUAGGGUGUGAAAGCCCUCGGCUCAACCGAGGAAUUGCGCUCUAAACUACCGUGCUUGAGGAACCUAGAGGUGAGCAGAACUGAUGGUGGAGCGGUGAAAUGCGUUGAUAUCAUCAGGAAUACCGGAGGCGAAGGCGGCUCACUGGGGGUUUUCUGACGCUGAGGAACGAAAGCCAGGGGAGCGAACGGGAUUAGAUACCCCGGUAGUCCUGGCCGUAAACGAUGAGCACUAGGCCGGAGCCCUGCACAGGGUUUCGGCCGUAGCUAAAGUGUUAAGUGCUCCGCCUGGGGAGUAUGGUCGCAAGGCUG
rnacentral:rRNA from 1 species